AAUCAACGCUGGCGGCGUGCCUAACACAUGCAAGUCGAACGCGAAAACCCCGGCAAGGGGUUAUUAGAGUGGCGAACGGGUGAGUAACACGUGGGUGACCUACCUUCGAAUGGGGGAUAACGUCCCGAAAGGGACGCUAAUACCGCAUAACAUCCUGCUUUUGAAUAGGUGGAGAUCAAAGCCGGGGAUCGCAAGACCUGGCGUUUGAAGAGGGGCCCGCGUCUGAUUAGCUAGUUGGUGAGGUAACGGCUCACCAAGGCAACGAUCAGUAUCCGGCCUGAGAGGGCGGACGGACACACUGGGACUGAGACACGGCCCAGACUCCUACGGGAGGCAGCAGUGGGGAAUUGUUCGCAAUGGGCGCAAGCCUGACGACGCAACGCCGCGUGGAGGAUGAAGGUCUUCGGAUUGUAAACUCCUGUUGCCCGGGACGAAAUGCUUCGACCUAACACGUCGAAGUUUGACGGUACCGGGUGAGGAAGCCCCGGCUAACUCUGUGCCAGCAGCCGCGGUAAUACAGAGGGGGCAAGCGUUGUUCGGAAUUACUGGGCGUAAAGGGCGCGUAGGCGGCCUUCUAAGUCGAACGUGAAAUCCCCGGGCUCAACCCGGGAACUGCGUCCGAUACUGGAAGGCUUGAAUCCGGGAGAGGGAUGCGGAAUUCCAGGUGUAGCGGUGAAAUGCGUAGAUAUCUGGAGGAACACCGGUGGCGAAGGCGGCAUCCUGGACCGGCAUUGACGCUGAGGCGCGAAAGCCAGGGGAGCAAACGGAAUUAGAUACCCCGGUAGUCCUGGCCCUAAACGAUGAAUGCUUGGUGUGGCGGGUAUCGAUCCCUGCCGUGCCGAAGCUAACGCAUUAAGCAUUCCGCCUGGGGAGUACGGUCGCAAGGCUG
rnacentral:rRNA from 1 species